rnacentral:rRNA from 1 species
AUUAGAGUUUGAUCAUGGCUCAGAUUGCAACGCUGGCGGCAGGCCUAACACAUGCAAGUCGAGCGGUAGAGAGAAGCUUGCUUCUCUUGAGAGCGGCGGACGGGUGAGUAAUGCCUAGGAAUCUGCCUGGUAGUGGGGGAUAACGUUCGGAAACGGACGCUAAUACCGCAUACGUCCUACGGGAGAAAGCAGGGGACCUUCGGGCCUUGCGCUAUCAGAUGAGCCUAGGUCGGAUUAGCUAGUUGGUGGGGUAAUGGCUCACCAAGGCGACGAUCCGUAACUGGUCUGAGAGGAUGAUCAGUCACACUGGAACUGAGACACGGUCCAGACUCCUACGGGAGGCAGCAGUGGGGAAUAUUGGACAAUGGGCGAAAGCCUGAUCCAGCCAUGCCGCGUGUGUGAAGAAGGUCUUCGGAUUGUAAAGCACUUUAAGUUGGGAGGAAGGGCAGUAAAUUAAUACUUUGCUGUUUUGACGUUACCGACAGAAUAAGCACCGGCUAACUCUGUGCCAGCAGCCGCGGUAAUACAGAGGGUGCAAGCGUUAAUCGGAAUUACUGGCGUAAAGC